AGAGCCCCCGGGGAAGCCAUUUUUCUUCCCAAAGGGAAGCUCAGGCCAGUUUCCCGGAGGGUUCUGAUGGCACGAAAAGACUGAGGUGCCUCAAGCCUGCCCCAGUGCCUCUGAGAAGCGGGUGAAGUCAUGGCCUGGUGCUUUGAUAAGAGGUGCUGUCCUCCUGUUUGCUUCAGGUGACUCAGCAGUAGUAUGUGGCUGGCAUUAAUAGAGUCACAUUUACGUAACGCGUCAUAGUUUCGACAGGCUGUAACCACAGGGCUGAUGGCAGUCUGUGGGGUAUUUUCACUUCAGAAGGUUCCUAGUUGGGGCUGCCCAUGCAGCAGAGAAACAACUGAAGGGACUCUGCUUUCUUUUUAAGCUGCUUAAUACAUGAGUCACUACCUAUUGCCCGCAAGCUUUUACAGUUUCACCAUGAUUUAUAUGAGGACUAAAGGAAUUUCCUUUGAAAAUUAAUACAGUCAUCAUUUGUAUUCUGCAGAUUUAUUCAUACAGUACUCAGUUCACUGUCUUCUCUUUCACUUACAGUUCAGAUGAUUGCACACCUAUAUCACUGUUGCAUAGCCAUAUCUUUCUUUCAGUGGGGACUGAAACUCAGACCACUGCUUCCUUGCACUGACUGGACCGCAAGAACACCCAUUUCUGUGCCCAUGUUACUGCACGGAUCUUUAUUUAAGUCUUUAUUCUGUCUGAUAAGAAUUAUGUGCUCUAGGCAAAGAAAAGUACGGCAUGAAGUAUGCUGUUCUCAAGUGUGUCAUACUAACUCUUUGCAGUCUAGAGAUCCAUGAAAAAAACACAGCAUCUCAAGUGUUUAAACACUUUGGUUGUAAAAUCUUAGUACAAAUUCUUAGGUAGGUGAAAGCAUUUAUCAAAACAAAACUCAGAGAGGUCAGGUUGUAAUAUUCUUUCUGACUUCAGCGUAUCUCUGUUUUGUAUUCCUUCUUCCAGAAUAAUGAAGCAGAAGAAUUCCACAGAUGUGUUUCAUUGGUGCAUUGUGUCAUUUCUUUCAUUGCCAGGCAAUGCAAAUUCACACCUAUAUUAGCAACCAAGCAACCACUUGGUAACUGACUAUGCAGAUUGGAUUAUUACUUUCAACCAAGGUAAACCAAGCUACACUGAAUGAGAGUAGGAUAUGGGAGGGAGAGAAGAGUGCCAUACCAGACACUUGUGCGGCAGUGCUGUCUGACUUAAUAUUUGUGCCCCACCAGGGAGUGACAGAAUGAUAAUGAGAAUGAAAAGAAAUAUCUUCCUGGCAGCACUGUGUGGAAGGAAUAAGGAAAGUAAGGGAGAAAGCUGCACACGUUUACUAGUGAGUACUCUGAAAAAUAAUAAUGCCUAAGCUUUUAUCCUAUUUGUGUUGACAAAACCUGCUUUGAAUGGUUCAGAACUGGGCACUUGCAGAUCAAGAGAAGCAAACUCCAAACACUUAGCAGCUGCUUAAAGCUGAGUUACAGGCCCACGUGACAGCUGGAACAAGUGAAGUAUGUCACAUUAGAUUUGCAACAUCAAAUCUAGCCACCCUGCUAGCAGUGUAUACCAG